rnacentral:lncRNA from 1 species
AAAAAAAUUAGCGAAGUAUGGCGCCAUUUCAUGGUUCAAACCUGUUAGCUCCACAAGAAUUGUUAAAUUUUCUUCUUCUUUUUCUUAUAAAGAGAAAUGGUUCCAACAAAGCAUCUAAUGUAGAAAUGGAACAAAAGUCUGUGUGGAAACGGGGUUCUCAGAAACCUACAGCACAUACAGUGUAUUCUUCAGUGGAUGAAAGGAGUGAUACUUGCCCUACUUGUAAACAGGUAUACAUUGUUCCCGCACUUAUGAAUUACAUCUCUCUUUCUCUCGUGGCAAUUUUGACAGUUAUGUGAUUACUGAUAUGUUUCUUCUGUUUCAUUAGGUAAUGAUUUUUGAGAAAAUCAUUUAGAAAGAUUUAUACUUGCUAAUUUGCUUUAAAAAGAUUUAUAGCGUUAACAAGAACACUAGCACACAGGUCAAUACGAAGGAGAAGGCGAAACAUUAAUAAAAUCUUUCAUUCCUUUUAGCAUCUAUAACAUCU